rnacentral:rRNA from 1 species
GACGAACGCUGGCGGCGUGCUUAACACAUGCAAGUCGAACGGAAAGGCCCUGCUUUUGUGGGGUGCUCGAGUGGCGAACGGGUGAGUAACACGUGAGUAACCUGCCCCUGACUUUGGGAUAACUUCAGGAAACUGGGGCUAAUACCGGAUAUGAGCUCCUGCUGCAUGGUGGGGGUUGGAAAGUUUCGGCGGUUGGGGAUGGACUCGCGGCUUAUCAGCUUGUUGGUGGGGUAGUGGCUUACCAAGGCUUUGACGGGUAGCCGGCCUGAGAGGGUGACCGGCCACAUUGGGACUGAGAUACGGCCCAGAAUCCUACGGGAGGCAGCAGUGGGGAAUAUGGCACAAUGGGCGGAAGCCUGAGGCAGCAACGCCGCGUGCGGGAUGACGGCCUUCGGGUUGUAAACCGCUUUCGCCUGUGACGAAGCGUGAGUGACGGUAAUGGGUAAAGAAGCACCGGCUAACUACGUG